ensembl:lncRNA
AAAAUAAAGCCUUCAUCUUCUCUAAGAUCUUUUGAUGUCCCUUGCCUGCUGACUCUUUUUUUCUUGUUCUCACUUACAUUAAUGUGAAGAGACAGUUGAGUAAAAGCACAAUGAACUUCAAAACCUAGUAAUUGUUUUUCAGAAAGAAUGAAACUUGUGAAUUAGAUAUGGAUUGUAAAAGAACACCAGAGCUGAUUAGUGUUCGUUCGGUUUGCCUGCUGGACCGUUCUGACACCUGUCUUCCCGCUUUCCCCAUAAAUGCCAUUGCUGAUCCCUCUAUACUGCCAGUCACAUGACAGCCAGGGAGAACUUGUGGGUGGGAGUUAAAAGACUCCCAGUGAACCUUGUCAGGCUUAGCAAUUCAUGAAACUCGACAUAAAAGGCAACGUUAAACAAAGAUGAGUUGAAUCCAUUUACAUGCAAACUGUAGUUAUCUGUAUGAAAAAAGCCAGGAAAGGGGGAAUGUUGAAGGGGUUACUCUUUCUUUCUUCCCUUUAGGAUGUGUAGAUAAUGAGUUGUGUAAGGCUUAGAGGGGGGAAAAAUAAGCCAACUUUCAAGGCAUUGAAAAAUUGCUUUUUAGGAAAAAUCCUUUUCAAGCUAACCAUCUGGUUGCAUCUUGUUUACAGCACAGUGUGCCAGUUUGUGCUUAUUAAUCAUGCUUACACAAGUAUCUUAAUUACUCCCCAUGUAGCUGCUCUGUUUUGAACUCAGAAGUUGACCUUUCUCUUUUUAUUCCUUUAAACCAUUAAUCAUACAUAAUCAACGCCAAUGGGGCAGAGCCAUGGAGAAGGCUACCCAGAUUCCAAAAGCACAUGCUAGUCCUUAGAAACCAUGUAGACAGGAGUGACCGAACUGCUAUCAGUCAGGCAUAUCUUAAUUAAUGACUGCUUUGUGAGUGUGCCUACCUACAUGACUGUAACCCAGUUCUGUUCCCUGCUUUUGCUUCCAUUAACAGCUGCCUUAUGGUACUGGAGAUAAUUUUAAAAAGUCUCUGUAUAUAAAAAAACUUUCAGAGGGAUCAUGUGAAUGAAAAGGAUCUGCUUCUCUUGUCUAUGUGCUCUCAUUGCUUCUGUAGUAAUUAAAAUUUUGAGAGGAUGGCCAGAAAAUGCUCUAGGCUCUAGAUUCUUCUAGAAUAAAUAAGUUGGAAGAGCAUGAAUUUUUCCAAAAUAACUGGAGUAACAAACGUAUUCCUCUUCUCCCUUGCCUUCUCUUCUAAAAAAAAAAGGCAACAGGAGAGGGAAAAAUUGUUUUGAAAAGGCAUGGAUUUGAGAUGACAGAGGGGAAUUUCAGAAACAGCACUUUGGUUUCUGGUGUACUAGGCAAGCUGUAGUAUGCAAAAGUAAUUUAGCCAACCCCGAAACAUUUCAGAUGAAAAUUUUAUCAGUAGUGUAAAAAAGACAACUAUCCAGCCCACUCAUUUAGCCAGCUUACAUGUUUAUACACAGGGAAGAAAAAAAAAUAGAUUUGCAAGUAUGACUUGCGUUUCCUCUCUACUGCUUUUGUUUUUCUGUUUCUUUUGGCCAUAAAUAGUGUAUUUAGAAUUUGUGCUGUCUAAUCUCAGUUCCACUGGAGAUGCAAUUUUCCCUUACAGGAGACUUAACUACAGUUAAGGCUGUCUUAAAAGCCUUAUGAGCCACUAUCAUAAUAAGCAAUUUGUUUAUUUUUAUUGCCAGCAUGAAAAAAGAAAAUAUUUCCCAACAAACCACAACAGGAACAGAAAAUGAUUAAAAACCUGUAUCAAAAAUCUUGUGUAAUGAAAAUUAUUAAUAUUUAAUUCAGGUAAAAGCUUUGCUGUUCCAAAUGUUGUAUGCACUGCUGUGUCUUAUGUUUAAAAAAUACUUAUUCAUGAACAGAGCAGUGUGCUUUUCAUGAACACCAUAGUGUGCAAGCGGAACUGUUUCCUCUAGUCUAGUGAAAAACUGCUAUUUUCCAUGGGACAACUUCUUUUGUUUGAGCUGAACAUUUUUUCAGUGUUUAGGUGUUUUGAUGUCCUUGUACUUUUUGUAUUUUCUAAAAGGUUCCUUGACUGUUAUUAAACACUCUAGCACAAACAAGCAAAAAUUUAUUCAGAGAAAAUUUUUGAGAACCUAAAGGAAACACUUAGAUUUUUAAUAGAGGAACUUUUGCUGGCCUCACGCUAUAGGUUUAUAUCCCUUCCCAUGUGGAUAGCUAAAGGUUAUUUCCAAGUACAGACUCUAGGUCCUGUAGAACAGAAAUCUGUUGCUGAUGAGAUGCAGUAGUGACAAAAUAUGGUGACACAGCAGGGGGAAUAGGAGUAACAGACCUGAGCAGGGCUGGGCUGGGCUGUGCUGCUCAGGUGCCUGGCGGCAGGGUGAGCUCAGCCUCCCAAGACCGGAGAGGAGCCAUGGGCAGCUCCUGCCUGCUGAGGACACCAGCUGUGUGGCCUUGCCUUUAUCUAGGGCUGCAGCAAUAAGCUCUCAUGUAAACAUACUUUUAUUUGGCAGUAGAAAUGAAACAUAGAGUUGUUUUCAUUGAAGAAAAUACGGUAACGGCUGAAAUGAGCAAAAUGGUGCAGCUUUUCCAAGGAUGGCAUCUGCAGGGUGGGCUGUGCCCUCACUGGAGGCCCUGUGCCAUACUGCACAGCUCGGGGUUCCCAGCAGCUGAAGGGAUGAAGAUUAUCUGCAUGAUCCUAGUUUUCUUAUAGUGUUAGCUCCCACAAGUAGUGCACUGCUGCACAGAGUCCAAGUGCUUCUCCUUCUGGGACUGCACUGAAUCAACAUGCAAAGUUCCUGACUGCCCAAACUAGCUCACUACUCUUUCCUCCCUGCAUGGUUCUGUUCUGCUGUCUGCUGUUUUCUAAUUAUAUUGCAUCUCUUUGAACAUUUAAACUGUACCUCGGAAGACUGAGUCAGAAGAUUCUGUGCUGGAAGCAUGCAUCUUGAAGUGUUUCUUGUACUGCAGUGCUUGCAAAGGCAUUGUGUUGAGGACAUAAAUGAGAGUUGUUUGCCUGUGUGAGGAGCAGGCAGAAUGACAAGGUAGAAUGACUGAUGGUGGGGCAGAAAAGUUACCUUUCACCAGAAGCAGAUUUUAAUACCUGAGUAUUUUUCUAGUAGAAUCUCAGUUUCAGAAAUUUCCAUUGGUUCAUUUGCCUGUUGAGGGAUUUUAAUUUCACAUCAGCUGAAAUGAUGAUGUUAUUCAGAAGGAAUUUCUGUGAUUUAUAUGAAUGAAGAGAACAUGGAAACAGUUGUUCCCAUCAAUGACUGUUAAAAUGUUAUGACCUACUGUACCUCUCAUUUUACAUCUUCAUUCAGCCUUGUUCUUCUGCUAUAUAGCUGAUAACUUUGUUAUUAGGUCUUCAUGUACUGUUUCUCCUCCUCCAGAUUAUUUUAUCGCCUAACAUUGGAAAUUUAUCUCCAUAAUCAGGAGUAGAGUUGUUUCCUGAAUAAAUGCCACAGUUUUCAUCCCACAUACUUUUAAAGGAAACAUUUUGUUUCUAGUCACUUGUAUCAUUGGAGACAGUGGUGCUUUAAUGCCGUCUUUCCUUUUUAAUGUGUUUUAAUAAUUGCAUUUACUUCAUGCUUAUAUUUGGCUUUCUACUUAUGUAGUUAAUUCUUUAAUUCUAAUGUCAAGUCCUGGAAAAUGUUGGGUAUUUUGCCCUCUUGAAGUUGAAAUAUAUAUAUAUGACUAUCUCAAGUGAAUUUUAAUUGUCUUCUGCAAAGCUUUUCAUUAGUGUGUUUGAUAUUAUGAGUCCACAGCAGAUCUAAAAGUUUUGUAGAACUAUAAUUAAUCACAAACACAUUGAUAAGAACAAGAUAAUCCAGGGAUAUACUAUUUGUUGGAACACAGGCUGCUGAAAAGUGGCCCAUGUGCUCAGUUUCAAGUUCUUGGUACUGUGUAUCUGCGGUGACUGUACAACUGCAGUGACAAGCAGCUGUCAGCUUCUGUGAGAGAACACAAGGAUGUGCUUCACCUGGAAAGUGGUGUGGAUUUUGUCUCCUUCUGCCAAAUACAACCAUUUGGAUAUUCAUACUACGGGAAAAAAGUGACCCUCAGCUUUAUGCGAAAAGUUAGCUUUACCAUUGUGAAACUGUCUGUUGUUUUGGUGGAGGAAGAAUAAAUAGAACUAUUUUUCUAUUUAUGUUUAAAGAUUUAUUUUAGAGUUAGUUAAAUAAACUGUUUGUUUCUAUAUUAAAUUUUAAGUUUGGUAUAAACAUGGAGCUUUAUCUAUGAAAGCUGGGUUGCAUGUGUAUGCUGUUGCCUCAGAAAGAGAUGCUUAAGCCUGAAUUCUAUAAAACUCACAGAUGUGAACUUGGGAAGGUGAUGUUUUAUGUAUCAUUUUCUUGGCAGCAGUAUUCAUUGAAAAUAUUUCCUCUAUCAGUUCUGACUGUUUCCACUUUUGUGUCACCUCCUUAGCUGUCCUAGCACAUCUGACAGGCAGUGUGCUGUGCAAGCAGGCCUGAAAACAACUGGAGGGACCUGGAAAGAUGGGAAUGCCUUAAACUGGAAAAACUUGAACCAUGGCUAAGGACAGCAUGCCUGCAAGCUGCAGCCUCAGAUCUGGGGCAUUUCUUAUUUUGUUGGUGGGGUAGAAAGGCUGAGAUGUGUUGCAUAUUUUGGUGGUUGUUUUUUCCGUUCCCAGCUCUUUUGGCCUUUGUGGUAGAAGUAGCCUUUGGAAGUUUAGUCCUCUUUGUUUCUGCUUUUCCCAUAUUGCCCAGAAAUCCUCAGUAUAAGCUUCAUCUGUCUAUCCAUUUAUGUAGCACCUGUAGUGAAGGAUGAAUGGAGGGAUAAUGUGUUAGAAUGGAAUGCAGGAUGUUUUGUAUAAUUAUGUGACAGUAUGUUUGGAACAUGUUGUUUAAACGCUUGAAUUCUAGCCUAAGAAAUUAUUAGUUAAAAAAAAAAAA